UACGUAGGGUGCAAGCGUUAAUCGGAAUUACUGGGCGUAAAGCGUGCGCAGGCGGUUUUGUAAGUCUGACGUGAAAGCCCCGGGCUUAACCUGGGAAUUGCGUUGGAGACUGCAAGGCUUGAAUCUGGCAGAGGGGGGUAGAAUUCCACGUGUAGCAGUGAAAUGCGUAGAGAUGUGGAGGAAUACCGAUGGCGAAGGCAGCCCCCUGGGGAUAACACUGACGCUCAUGCACGAAAGCGUGGGGAGCAAACAGG
rnacentral:rRNA from 1 species